UGUCCUACGGGGCGCAGCAGUGAGGAAUAUUGGUCAAUGGGCGAGAGCCUGAACCAGCCAAGUCGCGUGAAGGAUGACGGCCCUACGGGUUGUAAACUUCUUUUGUCAGGGAGCAAUUGGGUCCACGCGUGGGCUUAGCGAGAGUACCUGAAGAAAAAGCAUCGGCUAACUCCGUGCCAGCAGCCGCGGUAAUACGGAGGAUCCGAGCGUUAUCCGGAUUUAUUGGGUUUAAAGGGUGCGUAGGCGGGCUUUUAAGUCAGCGGUAAAAAUUCGGGGCUCAACCCCGUCCGGCCGUUGAAACUGGG
rnacentral:rRNA from 1 species